GAGUCUCCUGAAGGAACGUUGAAGACGACGACGUUGAUAGGCCGGGUGUGUAAGCGCAGCGAUGCGUUGAGCUAACCGGUACUAAUGAACCGUGAGGCUUAGCCUUACAACGCCGAAG
rnacentral:rRNA from 1 species